rnacentral:lncRNA from 1 species
CAUGUAUAUAUUUUACAGAAACGUGAAAUCAAAGUAGGUGAUAAAGUAGCUGGAAGGCACGGAAAUAAAGGUAUCAUUUCCAAAAUUUUGUCUAGACAAGAUAUGCCUUAUUUACAAGAUGGAAGAUCCGUUGAUAUGGUCUUUAACCCAUUAGGAGUACCUUCACGAAUGAAUGUAGGACAGAUGAAAGAUCCAUUGAUAUGGUCUUUAACCCAUUAGAAGUACCUUCAUGAAUGAAUUCAAGACAGAUAUUUGAAUAUUCACUAGGGUUAGCAGGGAGUCUGCUAGACAAACAUUAUUGAAUAGCAUCUUUUGAUGAGAGAUAUGA